rnacentral:rRNA from 1 species
UUUAGAGGAAGUAAAAGUCGUAACAAGGUUUCCGUAGGUGAACCUGCGGAAGGAUCAUUACCGAAUUGCCUACAUGGGUUGUUGCUGGCCCUCAAGCAGGGGGCACGUGCACGCUCUGUUUGCACAUCCACUCACACCUGUGCACCCUCUGUAGUUCUGUGGCCUGGGGGACUCUGUUCUCCUGUGCUGUGGUUCUAUAUCUUUACACACACACACACUGUAAUAAAGUCUCAUGGAAUGUAUGCCGCGUUUAACGCAAUAUAAUACAACUUUCAGCAACGGAUCUCUUGGCUCUCGCAUCGAUGAAGAACGCAGCGAAAUGCGAUAAGUAAUGUGAAUUGCAGAAUUCAGUGAAUCAUCGAAUCUUUGAACGCACCUUGCGCCCUUUGGCUAUUCCGAAGGGCAUGCCUGUUUGAGUAUCAUGAACACCUCAACUCUCAUGGUUUGCCAUGAUGAGCUUGGACUUUGGGGGUCUUGCUGGCCUGUGGUCAGCUCCUCUCAAACGAAUCAGCUUGCCAGUGUUUGGUGGCGUCACAGGUGUGAUAACUAUCUACGCUUGUGGUUUUCCGUCAGAUCACCUUCAGCAAUGGAGGUCCACUGGAGCUUAUAAACGUCUCUCCUUGGUGAGGACAGCUCUUUGAAUGUUUGAUCUCAAAUCAGGUAGGACUACCCGCUGAACUUAAGCAUAUCAAUAAGCGGAGGAAAAGAAACUAACAAGGAUUCCCCUAGUAACUGCGAGUGAAGCGGGAAGAGCUCAAAUUUAAAAUCUGGCGUGCCUCUGGUCGUCCGAGUUGUAGUCUGGAGAAGCGUUUUCCGUGCUGGACCGUGUACAAA